CAAACACUGGUUCUCGUAUGAUCCCUAAAGUUAAGCAGCACUGAGCCUGGUCAGUACCUAAAUGGGUGACUACUUUGGAAUACUACGUGCUAUA